UGUAACCCGAGGCGUUGCCAAAACGUCACAUAGUUAGCAAGAGGACGCCUUCAACGUGUGUCCUUGCAAACCCAGAACUUAAGUGUUAAUGUGUCCAGUGAUGGGUUAUCUUCAAGUCCUUGGGUCAGACUGCCUGGAAAAGAAAUGUAUACAAAAAAAGUUGGGUGAAAACAGCAGCUAAUGAUUUUCUCUUCGUCGUUGGACGCUAAAAGAGGCCGCUAAAAAGAAUAUCGAAAUACCCCUUUAAAAUGUCAGCCCGGUCUGUGAAUUUCUGAAAUCAGGUUUUCACGUUAAGACCGACGACACUUUUUGAGCGUCCAUAAAUUAGACAGUGUUUAAAUGCUUUAACUUGAAAUGAACACGUAUAUAAAUGAUAAAGCACAGCCUACAAAAACAUUGUUUGUCAGCAAAAUAACAUUUCUUACGGAUACUGUGUCUGCUGAAGGAAAACAUACGGCAUUUCAUUCACGAACAAGAACUUAAUUUCUUUCUUCCUGGUCAGCCUAUGAAACAAAUAUCCACCUAAGUAGCAAUAAAAACGAACAUUUAAACGCCUCAAACGCUUCCUGAAAUGUGUCACGAUACCUACCUGCAGCUCCACUCUCAGACUCGAGGCGAACACGUACGUCAGGCGUUUUGUGCACGCCAAACGAACACGUGACCCAGCCCUGCUCAGGUGCGCUGGACAGGUAAUCAGUGACGUGAUUGGCAGCUGCACGCUCUCUUUCGGUUUCCUGUUCUACUUUUGAGCAGGUGCAUGUGUAACCUGGUUAGAUGUUUAAUGGGUUGAGUGCAGAGCGAGUGGACGUGGUUGUAGAUGAUUUUAAUAGAUUAUUUUGUAGGAAUUGGCAGUGAGGAGUGUGCUAAAUGUUACUCUUCUGUUAAAUCGCUUGAAGACAUCAGGGUUGGGAGAGUGUCGUAGCUAUCUUUCUGUAAGGCCGUGAUGUGUAUGUUUUAUUUGGUCCUUUGGCUGUUUUUGAAAGUUUCUAUUUUCAUGCGCAUAAUGAAGGAAAAGAAUCGACCCUGUUCACAUCUGAGAAUUGACUCUCAUGACUCGAAAUCGCAUGAUCUGUGUCUCACAGAAGGUUGAUUUGUUCUCUCCUUUGUGCUUUAUGUUUGAUGCAAUCAAACAAAUAAAGUGUUUUUUCCUACUUGCUGGCUAAGGACACC